GCCUUGGUGGAUCAAUUGGCAGAUCAUCCCAACUUUAUGAACUGUCCUUCAAUGAGUAUACAGGAAGCCGGAGGUUCGAAUCCUCCCCGAGGCA